GACGAACGCUGGCGGCGUGCUUAACACAUGCAAGUCGAGCGGAAAGGCCACUUCGGUGGUACUCGAGCGGCGAACGGGUGAGUAACACGUGAGUAAUCUGCCCUUGGCUUUGGGAUAGCCACCGGAAACGGUGAUUAAUACCGGAUAUGACCACUCCACGCAUGUGGUGGUGGUGGAAAGUUUUUCGGCCAGGGAUGUGCUCGCGGCCUAUCAGCUUGAUGGUGAGGUAAUGGCUCACCAUGGCUUCGACGGGUAGCCGGCCUGAGAGGGUGACCGGUCACACGGGGACUGAGACACGGGCCAGACUCCUACGGGAGGCAGCAGUGGGGAAUAUUGGACAAUGGGCGGAAGCCUGAUCCAGCAACGCCGCGUGAGGGAUGACGGCCUUCGGGUUGUAAACCUCUUUCAGCAGGGACGAAGCGCAAGUGACGGUACCUGCAGAAGAAGCACCGGCCAACUACGUGCCAGCCGCCGCGGUAAAAC
rnacentral:rRNA from 1 species